AGUGCAGCUCUCAGUCCUCAGCAGAGAAGUUUCUCUGUGGAUCUCAGUGAUUGACGCAGAAGCUCGCAACUGGUGAACGUGAAGGGAAAGGCCUGAUGCGGUCAGUCUGCUUUGUCCACUGCUGGAUCUCUGGGCACCGCUUUGUCCAUUUGCCUCAAUAAGCACUUUUUGAGCAAAUCCAGAUCUGCUGCUGAACUGUCUGAAACCGGCUCCUGAGGCAGACUACUCUUUCCCCUGAGCAUCACUGGCUUUCUCUUGCUAAAAUAUGUAUCCAGAUUAAAAACGUGGCAGUUAUCAUUGCCUCUGGCUGCAG